rnacentral:rRNA from 1 species
CUACGGGUUGCUCCAGUGGGGAAUAUUGCACAAUGGAGGAAACUCUGAUGCAGCAACGCCGCGUGGAGGAUGACACAUUUCGGUGCGUAAACUCCUUUUAUAUGAGAAGAUAAUGACGGUAUCAUAUGAAUAAGCACCGGCUAACUCCGUGCCAGCAGCCGCGGUAAUACGGGGGGUGCAAGCGUUACUCGGAAUCACUGGGCGUAAAGAGCAUGUAGGCGGAUAGAAAAGUUGGAAGUGAAAUCCUGUGGCUUAACCAUAGAACUGCUUCCAAAACUCUCUAUCUAGAAUAUGGGAGAGGUAGAUAGAAUUUCUGGUGUAGGGGUAAGAUCCGUAGAGAUCAGAAGGAAUACCGAUUGCGAAGGCGAUCUACUGGAACAUUAUUGACGCUGAGAUGCGAAAGCGUGGGGAGCAAACAGGAUUAGAUACCCUGGUAGUC